UACGUAGGGGGGCGAGCGUUGUCCGGAAUUAUUGGGCGUAAAGAGCUUGUAGGCGGUUUGUCGCGUCUGCUGUGAAAAUCCGGGGCUCAACCCCGGACUUGCAGUGGGUACGGGCAGACUAGAGUGUGGUAGGGGAGACUGGAAUUCCUGGUGUAGCGGUGAAAUGCGCAGAUAUCAGGAGGAACACCGAUGGCGAAGGCAGGUCUCUGGGCCACUACUGACGCUGAGAAGCGAAAGCAUGGGGAGCGAACAGG
rnacentral:rRNA from 1 species